UUGUGUAUAUUUUGAAAAGCUUAUAAUCUUUUGAUAGAUAUUUCCUCAUACAUCUGUGUAUAAAUCCCUACUCUAAGUCGUAAAUUUCUUGGGGGCAGUAAUUGUGUCAUUCACCAGGGCAUCAUGCUUAUCACAUUUUUUGGCACAAUCAGCAAAAUUAUAAGUGAAUAAACAUAAAUAAAUGCAUAAAUCAUUGCUGGCCGAUUGAAUGACUGUGUCUGCUAUAGUUGUGAAAACCAGAUUACUAAGUUUAUUAGAAAUGUGUCUGAAGUAAGAGCAAACAGGCACUGAAUGAGAAUCUGGGGAAUUUACCAAUAAGUAAAAUGAAUUAUUGUUAGUAUGUGAAGGUUUUGAUAUAUAGUUUGGCUGCUAAGUGCUCUAAUUUGCUUCUUUUUUGACAAUUGUCUACAUAAGGUUAAAUGUGAAUGAGUGAAAAGCAUGUUUUUAAAACUUUUUAAAAAAUAAUUAAACAGGCAGUCACAAAAUUAAUACAUGAAUCCUUCACAGUUUCCUCCAAUAGUGACAUCUUACGGAGCUGUAGCACAAUAUCAAAACCAGAAAACUGACGUUGUUAUAAUACUAUUUAUCUUUCACCAUUUUUUACAUGUACAUAUUUGUGUGUUUUGUUUUUGUCUCUACUGUUCUUGAAGUUUUGUCCAUGUAUAGAUUUCUAUAACUUACCACAAUCAAGAUACAAAACUGGGAGUUCCCAUUGUGGCUCAGCAGGCUAAGAAUCUGACAUAGUGUUCAUGAGAUUUGGGUUGGAUCUCUGGCCUCAUAGAUACCGCUGAGAUCCACUGAAGAACUUCCAUAUGCUUUGGGUGAACCAUCAAAAGAAAGCAAAUAAAUAAAUAAAUGAUGCAUCCUACUUUAAAACAAACAAAUAUCAAAAAAACAAGACACAGAACUGUUCUAGAGUUCCCACUCUAUUGCAGUGGGUUAAGACUCUAAUUGCAGUGGCUCACGGUCCUGCAGAGGCACUGGCUCCAUCCCUGACCUAGCACAGUGGGUUAAAGGAUCUGAUGUUGCCACAGCUGUGGCAUAGGUUGCAGCUACAGCUGGAUUCAGUCCCUGGCCUGGGAACUUCUAUAUACUGUGAGUGUAGCCAUUAUUAAAAAAAAAAAAAAAAGGUGCCAAACUGUUCUAAUAACACAAAGGAAUUUCCCUAUGCCAUCCCGUUAUUAGUCAUACCUAUCUCCACCCACCCUUUGACAACCCCUAAUCUCAUCUCCAUCUCUAUAGUUUGUCAAUUUAAAGAUUUUGCAUAUAGAAUCAUAAAGUAUAUAACCUUUGAGAUUGGCUUUUUCCACUUAGCAUAAUACCCUUGAGAUCCAUCCAAAUAAUUGCAUGUAAUACUAUGUUUUUUUAUAUCAGGAGAUGCAAAAGAGAUACCAGUUGAGUUCUAAAAUUUGGAUGAAAUUUCUUUUAUUGGAAAUAUAUUGAUUUAGAUCUUUUAAAAGACAUUAGGGUUUAUGCAUCCUAGUUAGUUAUUAGCAUUAUAUUUUAAAAACUCAGGUGAGAUUAAUUUUUACAUUGUUAGAGAAAUAUUAACUAAGGUUUCAGGUAUCAUUUGGAAAGAAAUACUCAGAUAGUGUCAUUUUGAACUUAUAGUCCACAACUUGAUACAUACAUGCAAUAUAAAAAUUCACAAGGUAAACUCACUUUGCCAUUGCUACAGACUGCCAAGGGCCAGUAAGUAUUUUAUUGACAGUUAGGUUUGGUGGAAUUAUGAUUCUGGUGAGACUGAUUUGGGAGCUUAUUUAAUUUGAAGAAAGUUUUCUUGAUUUCCCUAAUACUGAGAAUUUUCUCUUAUCUGCCAUAACCUCUUAUUAUUGUCACCUCUCCAUGAAAUGCUAUUAUGGUUCCCGUAUUCAAAUGCAUUUUCAAUUUUAUUCAUAUUUUUCAGCUACUGACAGCUAUCAGUCUUGUGACAAGUAGCAUUUAUGAUAAUAUACUAACAAAUUGUUUGAAAGAAAAGGAAAGUGAGUGAUUUAUGUCUUAGGUGUAAGGAGGUUAAAUUUGAUUUCACUGUAAUAAGACACUUCGAGACAGACUUAGUUUUGCUACCGUGAGCUUACUGGAGUUAUUAUGCCAUAUUGAGCAAAAGCUUUAAUCCAUGUUUAGCCAGAAGACUUAUUCAUUCUGCAAAAGAAAGAUUUCUAUCGUCAUCCAAAGAAUUGACUUCUUGUAGAUUUUGAGAGAGCCUUUAUCCUGCUAAUACCCUGCUUAUGUAAUACAAAUAUAUGGGAAACUUCCCAAAAUACAUCCUAUCUGUGAGAACCCUUUUCUUCUAGCCAUCUCCUUCUCAAUUGCCAUCUUCAGCUACAUGUGCUUAAGGCUGCAUGAACUGCCAACCCCUCUGACCCUUAUUCUUCCACUUACCUUCCCAUUCCCACAUGUUCCUUCGCACAGAUAUGCAUAAUUCGCCAAAUGAAAAC
rnacentral:lncRNA from 1 species